rnacentral:rRNA from 16 species
GGAUGUGAUCAUACCAGCACUAAAGCACCGGAUCCCAUUAGAACUCCGAAGUUAAGCGUGCUUGGGCAAGAGUAGUACUAGGAUGUGUGACCUCUUGGGAAGUCCUCGUGUUGCAUUCC